GGGGGCGAAUGGAUUCGACGGGAUUGAAGGUGUAAUAAACGGCGUGCCGUGGUUUCUCGGGAGUCCACGUAAAACAAACCUGAGGUUGGAUAAGUGCCAACUACAACUACGCUGUUGCCUAAAUUAUAGGCAACCGUCCUUUCUGAUCUUGCCUGCGGGUCAGAAAAGGGCGUCAUUUAGCAGGCUAGUCCAUUGCCUUUUUUCGCCGGGUAAUGGGCGAAAUUUCAGGUGAAAUAGCCUUUCCGGAAUUUGCCCGUUGAUGAAGGAAAGGCGAAAACUUAACAAUGGGCUACGCACGUAGAGGUUUAUUCCACCUCUUUCUCGGACGAGGGUUCGAUUCCCUCCGCCUCCACAA
rnacentral:tmRNA from 1 species